rnacentral:lncRNA from 1 species
AAAGAAAGGGCAAUAUUGAUAGGUAAGUAUGCAUGAUUGUAUUCUUGGUUUAGUAGUUAAAAGAAAGGGCAAUAUUGAUAGGUAAGUAUGCAUUUUUUAUUUUUAUUUUUUUUUGAGAGAGAUAGAUAGCACGCUACUCACUUCGUUUAUUUCAUUUAAAAAUAAACUGAGCUGAAAAUGUGAAUCAACUAGGAUUCGAACUUAGAACCUCGGAUACCAACUAUCAAACCUUUUGCCACUUUCUCUAGAAACGAUCGGUGAUA